CAGUAAGGACAGGUGCGGACACAACGCGAUAUACAGGAUGUGGCUGUUGAUGGCUGAAGUUGAGCAGUUUGAGUGUCGACUUGGGUACCUCUGCCUGUCGCCCUGUCUGUUCCCUUGCUGUUGAAUCGAUGGGGAACCAAGCAAAAUAGCCAGUGAAUUCCGGCUUCAGAAUCAACUGCAACAACUGCCCAACACUCACGUUUGGGUUCGUGGAUGUUAUCCUCAACAAAUAUUAAAAGUGUUUGAAUUAGGAUCUAUUGUUUAAAAAUCCUUUAUAAAUGGAAGGUAAAGUAAGGAAAUCAGA